rnacentral:rRNA from 1 species
GCAACUCGCCUACAUGAAGUCGGAAUUGCUAGUAAUCGCGGAUCAGCAUGCCGCGGUGAAUACGUUCCCGGGCCUUGUACACACCGCCCGUCACACCAUGGGAGUCGGUAACACCCGAAGCCUGUAGUCUAACCGCAAGGAGGACGCAGUCGAAGGUGGGAUUGAUGACUGGGGUGAAGUCGUAACAAGGUACC